UACGGAGGGGGCUAGCGUUGUUCGGAAUUACUGGGCGUAAAGCGUGCGUAGGCGGUUCGUUAAGUUCGUUGUGAAAGCCCCGGGCUCAACCUGGGAAUGGCAAUGGAAACUGGCGGGCUGGAGUAUGGCAGAGGGGGGUGGAAUUCCGCGUGUAGCAGUGAAAUGCGUAGAGAUGCGGAGGAACACCGAUGGCGAAGGCAGCCCCCUGGGCCAAUACUGACGCUCAGGCACGAAAGCGUGGGGAGCAAACAGG
rnacentral:rRNA from 1 species